rnacentral:sRNA from 1 species
AUCAGAAGCGAAGAGACGGAGACGAAGGAGUUCGUGUUGACCUUGGAUCACACUAACUUCACCGAUACCAUCAACAAACACGAUUUCAUCGUCGUCGAGUUCUACGCCCCA